AUUGAACGCUGGCGGCAUGCCUUACACAUGCAAGUCGAACGGCAGCGGACCUUCGGGUGCCGGCGAGUGGCGAACGGGUGAGUAAUGCAUCGGAACGUGCCAUUGAGUGGGGGAUAACGUAGCGAAAGUUACGCUAAUACCGCAUAUUCUGUGAGCAGGAAAGCAGGGGACCGCAAGGCCUUGCGCUCUUUGAGCGGCCGAUGUCAGAUUAGCUAGUUGGUGAGGUAAAGGCUUACCAAGGCGACGAUCUGUAGCGGGUCUGAGAGGAUGAUCCGCCACACUGGAACUGAGACACGGUCCAGACUCCUACGGGAGGCAGCAGUGGGGAAUUUUGGACAAUGGGCGCAAGCCUGAUCCAGCCAUGCCGCGUGAGUGAAGAAGGCCUUCGGUU
rnacentral:rRNA from 1 species